AAAUUUUAAAUUUUCUGGAGCAUAAUUGACCUAAAGAAUAUUUCCAUGGUUAUUAUGCCUGAAUUAUAUAAUUCACAAGGUUUUGUUUGAAAAAACAUAGCCUCCACAAUUUGGGAAGGAAAAUAGGCAAAGAUAUG
rnacentral:ncRNA from 2 species